UUAAGGCCAUCAACUUCCCAUCAAUACAC
rnacentral:sRNA from 1 species